rnacentral:rRNA from 1 species
UUUGUAUCGUGGCUCUUGAAUGAACGCCGGCUGACCUCCCCUAAUACAUGUUAUGUAGAUGCGAUCACCAGAACGCAGCAUGCUCCUUAAACCUUAGUAGGAGGACCCAUUGAGUAACAUGUGGGCAACAUACCCUAAUAGAUUGAGAUAAGUGCGGGAAACCGGGGGCUAAUACCGAAUAAUCUGUUUCACCUCAUGGUGUAACAUUGAAAGACGGUUUUGGUUGUCAAUUUUGGACGGUCCCGCGGUGCAUUAGCUAGUUCAUGAUGUAAUGGCUCACCAAGGUGUCGCUGCGUAGCCGACCUCUGAGGGUGAUAGGCCACACUGUGAAUGUGACACGGCCCAGACUCCUACUGGAGGCAGCAGUAGGGACUCUUCCACAAUGGGCGAAACCCUGAUGGAGCAACGCCGCGUGAGUGACGAAGGAUUUCGGUUCGUAAAACUCUGUUGUAAGGGAUGAACAAGUACUGUAGUAACUGGCUGUACCUUGACGGUACCUUAUUAGAAAGCCCACGUCUAACUACGCACCAGCAGCCGCGGUAAUACGUAGGUGGCAAGCGUUGUCCGGAAUUAUUGGGCGUAAAGCGCGCGCAGGUGUUUUGUCAAGUUUGAUGUGAAAGCCCACGGCUCAACCGUGGAGGGUCAUUGGAAACUGGGAGACUUGAGUGCAGAAGAGGAUAGUGGAAUUCCAAGUGUAGCGGUGAAAUGCGUAGAGAUUUGGAGGAACACCAGUGGCGAAGGCGACUAUCUGGUCUGUAACUGACACUGAGGCGCGAAAGCGUGGGGAGCAAACAGGAUUAGAUACCCUGGUAGUCCACGCCGUAAAUUGUUGAGUGCUAAGUGUUAGGGGGUUUCCGCCCCUUAGUGCUGCAGCUAACGCAUUAAGCACUCCGCUUGG